rnacentral:lncRNA from 1 species
AUCAAAUCAAAGUCCUUCAUCUCUAGGACUAAUAAGUCUGCUUUCAUCUCUCUAUCCUCAAUACUCAGGAUAUAAUCUUUGCAAACUGAAUUAACCAAGAUCACAUCUCCACGUGACGUAGAGAUACAGAGAUCAUUUUCUAAAGGUACAGGAGACAACUCAUUGAUCCUCUUAAUAAAACUAGUUGAUAUAAAAGAGUGGGUAGCACCA